rnacentral:snRNA from 1 species
AUACUUACCUGGCGACAGUCUUGAUUGCUCACGGAUAGUUGAGACUCAGGGAUCUCCGACCUCAUUGCACAGCGAGGACGCGAGCCUCUGCCAAAGGUCUUCGGGUCUUCUGGGUUGCUUAAUUUUUGAUUUAUUCCCUGGCGGGUUUC